rnacentral:rRNA from 1 species
AGUGGCGGACGGGUGAGUAACGCGUGGGUAACCUGCCUCAUACAGGGGGAUAACAGUUGGAAACGACUGCUAAUACCGCAUAAGCGCACGGUACCGCAUGGUACGGUGUGAAAAACUCCGGUGGUAUGAGAUGGACUCGCGUCUGAUUAGCCAGUUGGCGGGGUAACGGCCCACCAAAGCGACGAUCAGUAGCCGACCUGAGAGGGUGACCGGCCACAUUGGGACUGAGACACGGCCCAAACUCCUACGGAAGGCAGCAG